ensembl:rRNA 5S_rRNA 5S ribosomal RNA
GCCACUAGCCAUAUCACCCUGCAACUCACAACUGGCAACCCACUGAAGCUAAGCAGGUGUGAGCCUGGUCAGUACCUGGAUGUAGACCUCCUGGGAAAAACUAAGGUUGCUGCUGGAA